AGAGUUUGAUCAUGGCUCAGAGCGAACAUUGGCGGCGCGUUUAACACAUGCAAGUCGAGCGGGAAAGCUACCUUCGGGUAGUGAGUAUAGCGGCGAACGGGUGAGUAACGCGUGAGUGACCUGCCCUUAAGCGGGGGAUAGCCACGGGAAACUGUGGGUAAUACCGCAUGAGGUAUCUAAUGUUAGAGGUUAGAUAUCAAAGGUUGGACUUAUGUCCGAUCGCUGAAGGAUGGGCUCGCGUUCAAAUAGUUAGUUGGUGAGGUAAAGGCUUACCAAGACGAUGAUUGAUAGGGGAUGUGAGAGCAUGGUCCCCCACAUUGGGAUUGAGAUACGGCCC
rnacentral:rRNA from 1 species